AUGAUGAAAGAAAAAUCAUACUAUGAACAAAUGCAACCUAAUAUCAAGGUAUUUAUGUUUAUAUAUUAACUUAAUUUUUGUUUCUUAACCUGAUGUUUCGUUAAUGACAUGGUUCGUGUAUUUGUCGAGGGGCUGAUGCAUUUGAAGGGGCUAUCGAGAUUAUUUAUAUUAACCUAAUAUCAAGCUGCUGGAUUGAAGGCCAGCUUGGUUUGGACCAAGUCAGAUUGAGAACUACAACUGUAUGUGUCUUGGUUUGCAGUCUCUAUGAUCAUGUUUUCAAAAGUUGAGCACUCGGUGGAUGGUUUAGCCAGGCAGAUGCAUUUAGGUUUGAAACACAUAUGAUAGUGGAUGGUGCAAUAACCCUGCAUAAGACUGAUUUCUAUGGUGAAGGGGUACUAUCGGCCCGACUGAUGCACCUUGCAGAGUUUACGAGGAUCCUACAGUAAUUAGAAGACGAGGUGUUGCCACCAAGGGUAGAGUAAGGAAUGGGUUCUUAUUAGUAUGUGAUUUGGAGGCUGAUUUGCUAAUGUUUUGGGCACUUUUGGAAGUUGUUUUCAAGUUAUCUUGAACCAUUAUUUAUGAUGCUUAUAUUCUCAUGAUCGUAUUUCUGUUCAUAUAUACAUGCUUCUCCAAACUUUUUGAAGAAAAAAGAGAGGUUGAGGGAAGAGUUUACCAAGAACAUUUAUGCAUUGCAAAUUUCAAAGAGUGUUGGAGCUACAUACCCCGGUUUAGGAUUCCCCACUAACCAGCCCCAAAUGUCAGAAGAAUCCCUUAAAGGUGUUCACUUAUGUGAGGCCUGUAGCUGUUUCAAAGGAGUAAAUGAUCUCUCUAAAUCAAUAUUGGAAGUUUCUUCCCUUUUACACUAUAUGUACAAACAAGUUUUCAUGUGAAUCAUGUAACAAAGCAAAUGUCAUUUAACAUUUGAUUUUGAUAAUUACU